rnacentral:rRNA from 1 species
UAGGAAUCUUCCACAAUGGACGCAAGUCUGAUGGAGCAACGCCGCGUGAGUGAAGAAGGUUUUCGGACCGUAAAGCUCUGUUGUUGGUGAAGAAGGAUAGAGGUAGUAACUGGCCUUUAUUUGACGGUAAUCAACCAGAAAGUCACGGCUAACUACGUGCCAGCAGCCGCGGUAAUACGUAGGUGGCAAGCGUUGUCCGGAUUUAUUGGGCGUAAAGCGAGCGCAGGCGGAAGAAUAAGUCUGAUGUGAAAGCCCUCGGCUUAACCGAGGAAUUGCAUCGGAAACUGUUUUCUUGAGUGCAGAAGAGGAGAGUAGAACUCCAUGUGUAGCGGUGGAAUGCGUAGAUAUAUGGAAGAAUACCAGUGGCGAAGGCGGCUCUCUGGUCUGCAACUGACGCUGAGGCUCGAAAGCAUGGGUAGCGAACAGGAUUAGAUACCCUGUGAGUCCAUGCCGCAAACGAUGAGUGCUAAGUGUUGGGAGGCUUCCGCCUCUCAGUGCUGCAGCUAACGCAUUAAGCACUCCGCCUGGGGAGUACGACCGCAAGGUUGAAAC